AAGUCGAACGGGAAACCUUUUAUUGAAGCUUCGGCAGAUUUAACUGGUUCCUAGUGGCGGACGGGUGAGUAACGCGUGGGUAACCUGCCUUAUACAGGGGGAUAACAGUCAGAAAUGACUGCUAAUACCGCAUAAGCGCACAGGGCCGCAUGGCCCGGUGUGAAAAACUCCGGUGGUAUAAGAUGGACCCGCGUUGGAUUAGCUUGUUGGUGGGGUAACGGCCCACCAAGGCGACGAUCCAUAGCCGGCCUGAGAGGGUGAACGGCCACAUUGGGACUGAGACACGGCCCAGACUCCUACGGGAGGCAGCAGUGGGGAAUAUUGCACAAUGGGGGAAACCCUGAUGCAGCGACGCCGCGUGAAGGAAGAAGUAUCUCGGUAUGUAAACUUCUAUCAGCAGGGAAGAUAGUGACGGUACCUGACUAAGAAGCCCCGGCUAACUACGUGCCAGCAGCCGCGGUAAUACGUAGGGGGCAAGCGUUAUCCGGAUUUACUGGGUGUAAAGGGAGCGUAGACGGUGUGGCAAGUCUGAUGUGAAAGGCAUGGGCUCAACCUGUGGACUGCAUUGGAAACUGUCAUACUUGAGUGCCGGAGGGGUAAGCGGAAUUCCUAGUGUAGCGGUGAAAUGCGUAGAUAUUAGGAGGAACACCAGUGGCGAAGGCGGCUUA
rnacentral:rRNA from 1 species